CCUACGGGAGGCAGCAGUGAGGAAUAUUGGUCAAUGGGCGGAAGCCUGAACCAGCCAACUAGCGUGCGGGAUGAAGGCCCUACGGGUCGUAAACCGCUUUUGCACGGGGAUAACACCCUCCACUUGUGGAGGUCUGCAGGUACCGUGCGAAUAAGGGCCGGCUAAUUCCGUGCCAGCAGCCGCGGUAAUACGGAAGGCCCGAGCGUUAUCCGGAUUCAUUGGGCUUAAAGGGAGCGUAGGCGGGCGUCCAAGUCAGCUGUAAAAUCGCGCGGCUCAACCGCGCCCCGCAGUUGAAACUGGAAGACUUGAGUUCACAACAGGCAGGCGGAAAUCGUGGUGUAGCGGUGAAAUGCAUAGAUAUCACGAGGAACCCCGAUUGCGAAGGCAGCCUGCCGGGGUGCGACUGACGCUGAGGCUCGAAGGUGCGGGUAUCAAACAGGAUUAGAUACCCGUGUAGUC
rnacentral:rRNA from 1 species